AUGGCGCGCCUCCACCACCUUCUCUCCCGCGCGCUCGCCUCCAACCACCUCCUCCGCUCUCCUCCGCUCCCUUUCUCAGCGCGCCCGACUCUCCCGCUCCACUCGCAGCCGCCGCCGGCGCCUCCUCCUCACCCCCAUGGUCGCAGCCCGCCCCCUUUCCUCGCCGCCGCCUCGCGGCACUACGCGUCAUCCCUAUCCAGGCGACGCCGGCGCGGCAUGGCGCCGCCGAUGUUUCCGAGACGGAGGAGAGCCAGGUUGAAGGGCCCCGCCGAGCUCAGCGUCCAGAUUGGCAUCGAAGAAGCCCUGCCCGAUGACCCCCUCAUCCUGAGUAUUGCAGAAACGCUUCGAACGGAUGCUGGGAAGGCAAUGAAGCUGGCGUUCCACAAUUUGGGGAACUCGGAGUACAAGACCAGAGACCCUUGUAUAAGCAAUGUGGAUGAGUACGACAGCGUUGAGGUGUCUGUGCUGCUUUGCGAUGAUGAUUUUAUCAGGAAGCUGAACAAGGGAUGGAGGGAUGAAGACCGCGCGACAGACGUUCUGUCAAUGUCGCAGCAUAUCCCGGGGCUCCAAAUUCCCGUUGUAAGACGUCCUGUUGAACUAGUUUAUUUGUUAGAGAUGUUUCUGUCAGAUCUUAGUAUUCACUUGUUGCUUCUGGUUCAACAGCUGCAACUAGGUGACUUGGUAAUUUCUGUUGACACAGCCCGACGGCAAGCAGAAGAAAGAGGCCAUGCACUUCUUGAUGAGAUAAGAAUUCUCAUGGUUCAUGGAUUGUUGCAUUUAUUGGGCUUUGAUCAUGAACUCAGCAAGGAGGCUGAAGAAGAGAUGGAGCAGGAAGAAGAAAAAAUAUUAAAUACCCUUGAAUGGAUAGGAAAAGGACUCAUUAGGAGUGCAUAUCAUUUCAGUACUGAUAUGGGUCAUUCAGAAAAUUCUGAUGAGGCCAAUAGAGAUAUAGAGAAAAGGAGUUUACAGGAGAGUCAUCAGCCGAAACUGACCCAUAUAGUAUGUGAUAUAGAUGGACGCCUGCAUUCGGAGUCAAUAGAAUCUUUGAGAGAGGCAGUAUCACGGGGAGUAACUGUUAUCAUGCUUACUGGCAAGACCCGUGCUUCCACCAUAGCAACCUUCAAGCUUCUUAAUAUGGAAGGAAGAGGUGAUUUUAUAUCGGAGAAUUCAGCUGGUGUAUUUCUACAGGGUUCGCUUGUAUAUGGGGAGCAUGGCCAACUUAUUUAUAGAGCAAACUUGGAUGUGGAUAUAUGCAAGGAGGCAUGUUUGUACUCCUUGAAGCAUAAAAUUCCUCUUGUUGCAUACUGUGAGGAACAAUGUUUGACCUUGUUUGAACAUCCUUCUGUCGACUUGUUGCACACUGUGCACCAUGAGACCAAGGUAAAAGUGAUGCCUUCAGUUGAGGACCUCUUGGAAUAUUCAUCGAUUCAGAAGUUGCUUUUCCUUGGCAACACGGAUGAAGAUUUUUCUGUCCUCACACGGCAUUGGUCGGGACUAACAGAAGGGAAAGCAUGUGUUAUCAAAUAG
rnacentral:rRNA from 1 species